UUAGAAGCCAUGGGGUGAGAGUUCCCCAGAUGUGUUCCUAUGAUCUUGAAGUCUAUCCAUAGCAAGCAUGUGACACUUGCCUGGAUCAUCAAGUUUCAGAGUACCUGUAAAAGUCCACUUCCAGCUACAUAAAUCAGAAGAUGUCAGUACCCCCAAGACAGUCACCUAGAGAGCUACUCACAUCAAAAUCGUCUGCCGCGUCGACCAUCUAAAUGCACAAAGUAAACCAGCAAAAGGUGUCGUGUGGGUAGACCAGGGUAUCUCUGCUUCUGGCUACGCUCUGUGGGUGGACCCAAGCUGGAGGGUACAGUUACCUGAGACAUCUUCUCCUGGCAGAGGUCAGAAGCACCUAGGUGAGUGGGUACACAUGAGAGAUGCCUCUUGAAGCCUUGGGUUAGGACUGGCACUCAAUCAGUUCUUCCCACAUUCCUCUGGCCUAAGCAAGUUCCCUGGCCAAGCCCAGCUCUGAUGGGAUAGGGAUGCUUGCUUCUCCAUGGAGUUGGGGGAAAUAAGAUGACUAUUUGCUGAACCUGAAUGAUAAGCUAACCUGACAACUUUUUUUCUCAUAAUUUAGAAAAUGUCAGUAAUUAAGAAAGAAAAAAAUAAAAAUCACUGGAUAACCCCUCAUCAGUGUUAAUCUUUAGCAUAUAUCUUUCCUAUUUUUUAUUUAUGGGUACAGAGUGGAGUGAGUGAUAGAAGGCAUUAAUGAAAGUUUCGUGGGAAGAGAGGAAGGGUUACCAGGAAAGCGAAAAGGGGAAAGGCUGGGGCAGUUUCCAGACUUAGUGGGAUAUUAAAUCAGACCGUUUGUGUUUUUAUGCCAAUUUCACUCACUAUAUAACCAUGGGUGCAUUAAUUAGCCCUUCUGAGUCCCAGUUUUAAUCUGUAAAAUUGGCUAACAAUUGUGUCUACCUCAUGAUGUAAUGUGAAGAUUAAAUGAGUUGUUGAAUGUAGAUAGAAUAGCACUUGCAACAUGAUAAAUGCCCAGAAAAAAUUAGCCACAAUCCAUAAAUAUAAUGUGUCAGGGUUUUAUCUGUAAGUAUUGGCCUAUUCAUCUCAUCUCAUAUGCGUUAUCCAUACUCAUGCUUGUUUACAGAGUGGCAGAG